rnacentral:lncRNA from 1 species
AUGAAUAUAAUAUAAAUAUAUGGAUGGAGCAAACUCAAGUCAAUCUCAGUCAAAGGAGUGAUAACAAGGAAAGCUUUUACAAUGGUGGAACAACAUUUGACCGAAGUCAACAGCUCUUCCUCACUUAGAAAUUUCUCUAAGUAUUAUCACAGUGAAGGCAAUGCACUCUUGAGGAGCAAACUUUGACCAAGUCAAAGUUCGUCCCCAAGUGAUGAGAGAGAACAAGGAAGCUAUGUGAGGAGCAACAUUUGACCAAAAGUCAAAUGCUCUUCCUCACUUAGAAAAUGUCCAAGUACAUAUACAGUGGAGAUAACUCGACUGGAGCGCAAACUUUGACUUAGUCAAAGUUUGCGCCUCUUCACAUAACAAAGUACUU